rnacentral:rRNA from 1 species
AUUGAACGCUGGCGGCAGGCUUAACACAUGCAAGUCGAGCGGGGUGAUGGUGCUUGCACUAUCACUUAGCGGCGGACGGGUGAGUAAUGCUUAGGAAUCUGCCUAUUAGUGGGGGACAACACCUCGAAAGGGAUGCUAAUACCGCAUACGCUCUACGGGAGAAAGCAGGGGACCACUUGUGACCUUGCGCUACUAGAUGAGCCUAAGUCGGAUUAGCUAGUUGGUGGGGUAAAGGCCUACCAAGGCGAGGAUCUGUAGCGGGUCUGAGAGGAUGAUCCGCCACACUGGGACUGAGACACGGCCCAGACUCCUACGGGAGGCAGCAGUGGGGAAUAUUGGACAAUGGGGGGAACCCUGAUCCAGCCAUGCCGCGUGUGUGAAGAAGGCCUUAUGGUUGUAAAGCACUUUAAGCGAGGAGGAGGCUCUUUUGGUUAAUACCCAAGAUGAGUGGACGUUACUCGCAGAAUAAGCACCGGCUAACUCUGUGCCAGCCGCCGCAGUAA